UUUUCCCUACAGGUUGCAGGGCAGGAUGCAGAGUAACAUCAUACCCAGGAUGGUGAGAACUGAAGCAAAGUCCCUAUACCAUUGAUAUACUGCUGGAAUGGAGGCUCCCUCUUCAGCAUGAUACUGCAAGGGCCAGGUACUUUGGUGGUCUGCCCAGAAGCGGCUAUAUCUCGGGGAAGGAAGCUGAAGCACACGAAGGAAACCAACCAGGAAAAUAUACAAACUCCAGACCGGAAUCUGACCCUCUUACUGUGAAGCAGCAAAGCUACCAUUGCGCCACUGUGCCCCCACA